UACGAAGGGAUCUAGCGUUGUUCGGAUUUACUGGGCGUAAAGGGCGCGUAGGCGGCCAAAUAAGUCAGAUGUGAAAGCCCUGGGCUCAACCCAGGAACUGCAUUUGAAACUAUUAGGCUAGAGUAUGGGAGAGGUAAGUAGAAUUUCCAGUGUAGAGGUGAAAUUCGUAGAUAUUGGAAAGAAUACCAGUGGCGAAGGCGGCUUACUGGACCAUAACUGACGCUGAGGCGCGAAAGCGUGGGGAGCAAACAGG
rnacentral:rRNA from 1 species